CAUGGGGUGCCAUGGGGUGACCCUCCAGGUGCCAUAGGGUGCCAUAGGGAGCCAUGGGGUGACCCUCCAGGUGCCAUAGGGUGCCAUGGGGUGCCGUGGGUUGUCCGUAGGCCCGGGCUGCGCUGGCGCUGUCGGUGCUGAGCGCGGUGUUGGCUGUCCUGCAGUUGGUGAUGCAGGGGGUGCUGCUGCCCAACGGCUGCGGGCGCUGCUGGGCCAUGGCGCCCCACGUGCAGGUCAGGGGGUCAGAGGUCACGGGGUCACGGGGGGGGGGCGGGGGGUCACGGGGGGGCCACGGGGUCGUGGGGGGCUAUGGGGUCUGUGGGUCUCUAUGGGUCCCUGUGGGUCUCUAUGGGUCCCUAUGGGUCACUAUUGGGCUCUAUGGGUCGCUAUGGGGUCUAUGUGGGUCUCUAUGGGUCCCUGUGGGUCUCUAUGGGUCUCUAUGGGGUCUCUGGGGGUACCUAUGGGUGUUUAUGGGUAUUUGUGGGUCUCUAUGGGUCCCUAUGGGUCUCUCUAUGUGUCCCUAUGUGUCUCUAUGGGUCUCUCUGGGGUCUCUGUGGGUCUCUGUGGGUCUCUAUGGGUCUCUCUAUGUGUCUCUAUGGGUCUCUAUGGGGUCUCUGUGGGUCUCUAUGGGGUCUCUGUGGGUCUCUCUGGGUUUCCAUGUGUCUCUAUGUGUCCCUAUGGGUCCCUGUGUGUUUCUAUGGGUCACUAUUGGGCUCCAUGGGUCCCUAUGGGUCUCUAUGGGUCUCUCUCUGUGUCCCUAUGUGUCUCUAUGGGGUCUCUGUGGGUCUCUAUGGGUUUCUAUGGGUCUCUUUGGGUCUCUAUGGAUCCCUGUGGGUCACUAUUGGGCUCUAUGGGUCUCUAUGGGGUCUAUGUGGGUUUCUAUGGGUCUCUAUGGGUCCCUAUGGGUCUCUAUGGGUCUCUCUAUGUGUCCCUAUGUGUCUCUAUGGGGUCUCUAUGGGUCUCUAUGGGUUUCUAUGGGUCUCUAUGGGUCUCUAUGGGUCUCUGUGGGUCUCUAUGGGUCCCUAUGGGUCUCUAUGGGUCUCUAUGGGUCUCUGGGGGGUCUCUGUGGGUCUCUGUGGGUACCUAUGGCUGUUUAUGGGUAUUUGUCAGUCUCUAUGGGUCCCUGUGGGUCUCUUUGGGUCCCUAUGGGUCUCUGUGGGUCACUAUUGGGCUCUAUGGGUCUCUCUGGGGUCUCUGUGGGUCUCUGUGGGUACCUAUGGGUGUUUAUGGGUAUUUGUGGGUCUCUAUGGGUCCCUGUGGGUCACUUUGGGUCUCUAUGGGUCCCUAUGGGUCUCUCAAUGGGACCCUCUGGGUCUCUAUGGGGUCUUUGUGGGUCUUUAUGGGGUCUCUCUAUGGGUCUCUAUGAGUCCCUAUGGGUCCCUGUGUGUUUCUAUGGGUCACUAUUGGGCUCUAUGGGUCCCUAUGGGGCUCUAUGGGUCUCUAUGGGUCUCUGUGGGUUUCUAUGGAUCAAUAUUGGGCUCUAUGGGUCCCUAUGGGUCUCUUUGGGGUCACCAUGGGUCUCUAUGGGUCUCUCUGGGGUCACCAUGGGUCUCUUUGGGGUCGCUAUGGGUCCCUAUGGGGUCUGUAUAUGUCUCUAUGGGUCCCUAUGGGAUCUCUAUGGGGUCCCUAUGGGUCUCUAUGGGGUCUCUAUGGGGUGUCUAUGUAUCUCUAUGGGUCUCUAUGGGGUCUCUGUGGGUCCCUAUGGGGUCCCUAUGGGGUGUCUAUGUAUCUCUAUGGGUCUCUAUGGGGUAUUUGUGGGUCUCUAUGGGUCUCUCUGUGUGUCCCUAUGGGUCUCUAUUGGUCUCUAUGGGGUCGCUAUGGAGUCCCUAUGGGUCUCUAUGGGUCCCUAUGACUCCCAAUGGAUCCCGACGGGCGCCCCGUGGGGGCGUGGCCUGACGCUGACGUCACGCAGGGGGCGGUGCUCGGCGCGCAGGCUCUCCUCGCAUUGGGUGCCGCCAC
rnacentral:lncRNA from 7 species